rnacentral:lncRNA from 10 species
CCUUCCUCUCCCUGGGAUUCUCAGGGCCACAUCUGGGGCCAAGGCGGGGCGGGGAUCUGUCUCAUGGAUCCAAUCGUCUGAGACCAGGCUCAAGGCCUGGUUACAAAUGAGCGCUGGGCCCCGCGGCCUCCAGGGCAGAGCCUGGCGCUGGCGCGUGAUGGAUGGGGCCGCAUGGCCAUUAAUCACAGGCCGGGGAGGAAACAGGUGGCCGCCGUGCAGAAGCAGGGACCUCCCUCUGCUGGGCCCGGGUGGAGUGCAAUGGCGCAAUCUCGGCUCACUGCAACCUCUGUGAUCCACU